AUGGCUGAAAAUGGUGGUGUUGGACAAGAAAAGAAAGUGGGGGUGGAUGCAAAGAUGAACGGAGCUUCUGUGGACGAUGAUAAUAAUUCAGGUAAUGAAUCAGCGAAUGUCCUUGCUGGCUUACUGCCUACAACGAAGAGGAAGGAGAUGGGUUGGCCUACCACGAGUCGAGAGAAAGCGCCUUACAAAGGUCUGAAUAAGAGAACAAGAUUCUGUACAAUAUGCCGACGAGAGGCGCAUAAACGAACAACCUGCCCUGAUCGCGGCGACAUGCCAAACAGCCUCGGAAGCCUAGGAGAUGCAAGAAUUGUGGUGUUGAAGGGCAUUGUAGGAACAACUGCCACAAAGCGGCCGAGCUCAGGCUGA
rnacentral:rRNA from 1 species